UUUCACCUCAAACACAUCAGACACACAGCCUGCAGAUGGCGCUCUUUGACUGGAUUAAAUGCUUUAAAACACAGCAGAUGUGUCAAAGUGAUUUGGUGCUUCACAAAGCUUCGGUUUCAUCAUGCCCAGGUGGCGUGCAGAGUGGCAAGACUACAGGAGAGUGACUGAAAUCACGGGAGAACUUUCCUGAGAUGAGUGACGGUGGACUGAACAGGAGAUCCAAAAGUCCAAACAGAUUCAGAAUUCUGGAAACAGCUGAGGGAAAAACCAUCCAUUUUUAUAUACCUGCUUGUUACAAUGCAGGUUUAGUUUUGGGGGGCUGGCACCUAUCCCAGCAGCACCAAGCACCAAGACCACAAACCAGUCUUCAUAUAUCACACCUAGGCCUACCACAUCCAAGGGUUGAAAUCUGUAACUGAAGAAGAGGUGUUGGACCAAAUCUGCUACCAUUAGCUGAUCGCCAGUCUGUCCAAAACAUGGAGGAGCGGCUCAGAAAUAGUGCUGACCUCAAAAACCAUCUGAGAACUGCACUGGCUCUUAAAGGAGGGGGAGACGUUAAAGAGUGUAAAGAGUGUCAUGUGCAACCUUAACACUCUCGCCAAGAAUGUCAACAUGCGCGGUAUAAAUGGCAAGAUUGGCUUCCAGCACCUGCAAAUAAAGGAUGUUGUAAUUGAAGUCCACGGUGGGAAUGAUGGACUGCACGGACAGCACUGCUUCAUUUUAGCUUCUGUGCCCUUUGUUAAUUUUUUACUAAGACUUUAACCUCCCUGAUUUUAUUUGUUUUCCUUUUGUUAUCCUUAAGCUCACAUUCUUUUAAUGUAUUUCAAUUAUUGAUCUUAUAAUUUUAUUGGGUUGAAAGCAUAAAAUUUUUUUCCAUCCCCACUUAAUGUUGUUUCCCUCUGUUCACCUUGUUCCCUCUCCAACAGUGUCACACAUUAUUUGAUUUUUAUAUUGUUAUUUAUUAUAUAUUGUUAUUUUAAACAAGUUAUUCAAAUCAAAAUAAAUGUUAUUUGUAUAAUUGUAUCACCGUUGUUGUAGUAUUUUUAAUCUAGGCUGAAUAUUGCACAGUUUGAUUAAGGUAUUCAUUAGGCUGACACCUGGUGCCAGUGUGGAAACUGUUCUGGGCCAGUACAGGGCCACCAUUAGGCUGACAUCCGAUGCCAGUGUGGAAACUGUUCUGGGCCAGUACAGGGCCACCAUUA